GGGAAGAUUUUUACAUCUUGCUUCCUUCUCCACACUGGCUCCUUGCGAACUUAAGUCAGACUAGAGUCAAUUCAGUGUUUCAUUUGCUGCCAGAGAAGCACGAGAUGCAGGCGAUCCCCUCAAAGCCCAGAAUGUGCCUCUGGGAUGAAGAAGAGUUCCGGUUUCACGUUGGGUGGCGCUCGAGUCGAGCAUGGUCUUGACUCAGAUUCACGCUGAGGUUGCUAACUAACUGCCUCAAGAAUAGUGGCUCAUUCCCUACUUGGUCCCCGGCCAUGGUGGCCUGGUGCCACCAAUGGCCCUUCCCACGGGGGAGAGCUGAAGUCCUUUGCAGAGCCAGGGACUUCUCUUUGGGGACAAAACAGAAAAAUGUCCAGCCUCGGCUUUUUGUGCCCACGGAAGAUAUAAUCGUUCAUGAACAGUGGCUUAAGCAGGAUGCUAAUGCUUGAGGUCUUAUUUCUAUCUGAUAUCCCAGUCCAGGGCUGAGGAAAGCUGAUGCCUGAAGGGGGCGCUGCCUGCCUCUGGCUCCUUUGGAUGAAGGAGGUUGAAACUGCUGACGUCAUUGCCGGGCGUGAUCGCGAACAGCAGUGAUAAUGGAAAUUUAACACUUAACGGGAAAUAGCGCUGUAGGAUGUAUAACAACUCAUACUGCUACUUGCUCCAGGCACAUUAUAGGUGUCAUUUCAUUUAAUCCUCAGAGCAACCCAAUAAGGUGAUAUCUGCAUAGCUCCAUGAGGAAACAGGCUUGCAGAAGUUAGAUAAGAUUGCAGGGUCUCCCAGCAGAUUAAUGACAGAACUGACAUUUGCAUGUAGGUCUGUUCAUUUCCACCUCGACUUCUUCCCAGUCAGGGCUCAUGAUUAGGAACUGGAAGCACUGAGAAUCUGGCCCGUGGAAACUUCUUUUAGCCUGGAAGAGAGGCUCUUUCCCUAUUGCUACUUGACACCUGGAUGUUAAAGCUACUGCUGCAAAGAAUACAGCUGUGCUCACUUCCCAGGUGCCUUGCUGAGGAAGUCCCUUGUCUCUGUAGAGGCUGAGACCCGAGGCCUUUCCUGGCUCCUCUGAGGCCCUCAGUGCAAAGGAGAACAGAGACGCAGAAAGGCACGUGUACCAGGCUCCAUCUUGGGACGCCAGAAGAAUUAGGAUAUACCUGCGGUGGAGACAAGAGGUGACCCUGAGGAGUCCAGCCAACCCCGACCCCACCAUUCUCCCUGGGCUCGGGUGUCAGGCCUGUGGGAAGAUGAUGACCAGGCUCCAGCAUUCAGAAAGAGCUCUGCACAGACUGGGGAUCUGCUCAUUUUUACUCAGCCAGCCUUCUCUUAUGCAAUGAGGAGAAUGUUCCUGAGUUUGGAUCCCUACACUUGAAUGACUGGGCAUGGGACGGGCAGAAUGGGGCAGUAGAAUGAAGGCAUUGAAAAGUCGGGGGCAUCUAGGGCUUUUGUCCACUGAGUUAUGCUCUGUCAGGUGCCACCUGUGGUUCUGGUUCUGAGAAAAGAGAAAGUAAGGGACCCAUUUCUUUGUCGUAUGGAGAAGAGGGCUAUAGCUGAUGACAUGCAUUAGUCCGUGUGUGAUUUCCUCUCAUCCAGCCCAGGUUGUAGGCAGGUCUGGGAGUAUUCCUGCUUGGCUAUCUAGCUGAGCUGCCGUCCAGACCCUCUGACUCCUGGCAUGGGCACUGAAACCGAGGGGGAUGGGAAUGCACACACCCCUUCCUUGUUGAAACCCAUUGCCACUUGGGCUUCUGCUCCUCUGGGGUCACCUGGGUGAUCCGACAGCUCCACUGCCUGGCUCGGCUGAAAUUCUAUCUGGAGUCCGUCUGUUGACUUGCAGGUAAGCCCUUGACCAGAUACUGGUGUCCUUUGUCAAAUCUGAGAUGUAACUUUGUGGUGAUAGACGCAGUUUGUAGGCAAUAAAGUCACAUGCAAAUGAAAAUAUGCUUAAUAAGGAAUGCUUUUUUUAAAAAAAUGGAAAGACUUGUUUGGCAGGAGAUUUUUUUGGUUAAUAGGCACUCUCUUGAUGCCAUGUUAAAAGUCGGGAAGGCAAGAGAAAGACAGAAAGCAGAAAGAAAAUAUGGACAUUUGGAAAUGGAGGAGGGGUACUUUUCUUAAAUUCAAUGAG